AACAUUGUCUCAUGAAUAAAACAUAUGAGAUAAUACCUGCCCAGUGACACAAUGUUAAACGGCCGCGGUAUCCUAACCGUGCAAAGGUAGCAUAAUCAUUUGCCUAUUAAUUGUAGGCUAGAAUGAAGGGGUUAACGAAAUAAAAACUGUCUCAGCUAACUACCUAAAAAUUAUUUUCUACAUGAAGAAAAGUAGAUAAACUCGAAGGACAAGAAGACCCUAUAGAGCUUAACUUAAUUAUAGAUAAAUUACUAUUAAAAACAUUUGGUUGGGGCGACCUUGGGCUUAUACAUCACCCGAAAACAAAACGAUAUAUUAAUCAAUUAAUUGACCCUAAUAAGAUCAUAAAUCAAGCUACCUUAGGGAUAACAGGCUAAUCCCACUCAAGAGUUCUUAUCAACAGUGGGGGUUGGCACCUCGAUGUUGGCUUAAGGUAUCCAUAUAGCGCAAAAGUUAUAUAAAGAUGGUUUGUUCAACCAAUAAUACCUUACGUGAUCU
rnacentral:rRNA from 1 species